GUUCAUCUCACAAGUCACACCAUCAUCGACGACAAUGUUCACAGCGUCACUCGACAUGAGUCAAGAUGCUCACAGCGUCACUCGACUUGAGUCAAGAUGCCUUACAACUAACUGGAACCUAAACAUAUAUGAUGAGAUGCGCUCUACCCCGGCACACAGGCUAUAGGCAUCUGUACAUUUGUUUAUAUACACAUACAAGGAUACAACAUUUAUUAAUUUGAAUUAUGCAGGUCAACUCAAGAAAUUCCGAUUUCAGGGAGACACCUAACUUAUGCUGCGAGAUUCAGUGCAGCUGUGGGGGGACAGACAUGCAGGCCCGACAUCCGCUCCGCUUUCGCCUCAAAGCAUCGAGUCAUGGUACCAGUUGUUAUACAGACGCCCAAACUGGAGGAGGCUACCAUAUGUUCUAUCCCA
rnacentral:lncRNA from 1 species